rnacentral:rRNA from 1 species
UACGGGGGGAGCAAGCGUUGUUCGGAUUUACUGGGCGUAAAGGGCGCGUAGGCGGCGCGACAAGUCACUUGUGAAAUCUCUGGGCUCAACCCAGAACGGUCAAGUGAUACUGUCGUGCUAGAGUGCGGAAGGGGCAACUGGAAUUCUUGGUGUAGCGGUGAAAUGCGUAGAUAUCGGGAGGAACACCAGAGGCGAAGGCGGGUUACUGGGCUGAUACUGACGCUGAUGCGCGAAAGCUAGGGGAGCAAACGGG